UGGGGUAUACUCAAAAUUAGGUAAAUUCAACUUAAAUUUGAGUAUAAAAAACCUAUCAAUGAGUUGUAAUUUUUGCCGUGGUUAAGCUAAGUAUGCACCUCUUGCGAAAUGAAAUUUCCUAUACAAAACCUAUGCAUAAAAAACGUCGCGAAAUGCUCGCGAAAAAAAUUUUCGUUUCCAUUUCGUAAGCGGUACGCAGCUCUCGCGAAAACGAUAACGAAAAAAGCAGUUAGCCGAGACACGGUUCGACAAACGAUAAGUUUCAUAAUACUUCCGCGAGAUAGCGCUGCUUUCUAUGCGCUGUCACCAAGGCAAACUUUUUCCUUGCGAAAUAAUGGUCAAUGGUAUUAUUUCGCACGGAGGCUCGCGAAAUUUUGACAGGUUGCAUUGAAAAAAUAUAAAAAAACAAAAGAUUAGUAAUUUUUUGUAUUUUUUUUCAUCGCGACCUGUCAAAAUUUCGUAGUUUUGAGAAUCAAUAUUUUGAAUUUGAAUGGUAAGUUUUAAAAUAUUAUUGGAAUUGUGAUUGUUUCUAGUAAUUAUUAUUUACAGCACACCCGAACAAAGCAGCCACAAGAGCAGCAUUUUUCGUCACCAGCCAUCUAUCUACUUGAUAAGUUUUCAACAACAACAACCAGGUGCUACAAAUCAGCUCAACUUGACUCAACAUCCUGGAUCUGGCAAUCAGCCAACCAACAUUAAAUCGAUACAACCGUAGCAGUACCAACAACUCCAAAUCCAGCAGCUGCCAACAAUCUCUCAAAAAAGAACCACAGCAAUUACAGCUCAGAACCAACAAAGCAACAAGAGCUUUUUUACGAAUAAUGGACCCAUCGGAAACACUUUAUCGGCACAUUCUGUCGUAAAACUUGCCUGCCACUAUUCUUACCAGCGGUUACCUUCCUGAUGUAGAGAAAUCAGAGUCAAACACAAACGUCAUAUUACUGCCUUGGCUCCUACCAGUUGCUUGCAUGAAAAUAUCGCUGCCUCCACAGUGCUCGUGAUUUCAUCCCAGCAGCAGCUAGCAACCACAAUUCCAGUGCUUAUCGCCAGCAACAUCAGAAAAUUAAGAUUUCCCCCAGACCAUGACCAUCAUCCGACAGAUCGGUAGCAACGUUCAACUGACGGUACAACCUGGCCAGCAACCGCAAGUAGUGCAAUCGAUCCAAGCCAAUCAGGGCCAAAUGUAGAAGACCAUUGGUCAACUGCAAAAAAAAAGAUACAUCAACAGCACCUUCAAACACAGUAGCAGCAGCAUACUGUACUGUACCACGCCGCGUGCAGGACUUUUUUUUAUUCAGUUGGUGCAGCAAGAUCGAACAGCAACCAUAGCGGAUACACAUCACCGAACACCAGCAACAUAAUGCCAUGGUAACCACCCAGCAGCAGAACACGGCGAUAAUGGGCCAACAGUAAAUACAACAUCAAGAUCCUCGGAAAGGACUUUCUCUUUCGAACAAACAUAAUGGAAGCAUACUCUACACGCGCGACAUAUUCAAUCGGGCCAACCGUGUGACUCGUUUGGCAAAAAGGGCUCAUCAUCGGUUUCAUGGCAGCGAAGUGAGCAGACAAAAGAAGGCGUUUUUUUUUCCGAAUGGUCGCUCUGGGCAAAAGUUCAGCUAAUUGCAAGGAACAAACCACCGGAGUGACAGUAUCCGUGCUGAUUCAGGACCUUUUUCCAUAUAUUGUAGCUUUUGAAUUUUAAUACCCGGUCGAAACGAUGGCAAGUGCUGCCGAUAACUGGGUCAAAAAGGCGGAAGGAGGA